CCGAUUCAUCGCAGUGACCUUUCGGAUAAAAGGAAUGUUUAAAUUUAUCAAUAAAUGAAUUGCCUGACUUUAAGAUUUAUCGAAAUACACUAGCAAACUUGUUUGUUUUUGGCAUAAGUCCGUGUUGGCCACACAGCAUCCACAACAGCAACAGCAGCUAGUCCUUGUGGUAAAAUAAAUUUUCUGCAAUUCAUGACAGCACCAGCAGUAGCAGGAGCAGCAGUAGAGGCAACUGAGCUCUCAGGUGUGGGCGUGCCGGAAGUACGUGCCAAGACACGAAACUUUUGCGAAAAGGAUUAGAGCAGGCGUGCGGAUGGAGCUCCCCCCACAGCCGAAUAAUACUCCGAGGACUUAAAAGGCAAUCAAAUUAAAUUGUUUUUGCGGUUAACCACAAAAGUUCUUCGGCUCAGAUCAGAAAUGCGAAAGAACCACAAAAUACAUAAACCAGUCCGUGUGUUCCGCAAAUCAAGCGAAAUUCUUUUGCUGUUGACGCAGCCACAGCACCAAUACAACUCAAUACACCCAAAGCACCUAUAAAUACUUACCUGAACAUUUGUUUACGUACCCAGCCCAAUUAGACGUAAACAAGAGCCGCCGGAAGUAGGCCACGUAAAAAAAACACAUCGAAUCCACCUUAACAACAACAUCCACAUUCAAAUCAACAGCAGCAAAUGAAGCUGGCAAUAAAUACAAACUGGCAUGAUAGAAACCAACUUGUCCAUCAAGCACUUAUACGGAAAGUGUUUAAAUAAAUAAACGCGAGUCAUCAAAAUACAAAUAACGCACGGACAACAGAAACGAAAAUUGUUUCGAAAAAUGUUCACGAGCAAUACGAAAAUAGCGCCACGAGGCGUUGGCAGCCCGAAAUACACAUACGAAAAAAGUUCUCCCGAAAGCCUGAUUGAAAUUGUGAAAAACUAAAUAUUUUCCGAGCAGUUCAGCGUGCAAUGAGCAGCCGUGCGGAGUGCAACGACAACGAAAAUCCGCGUAAAAAUGCUAUCAAAAUAUGUGCAAAAAACUGUGCAACAUUGAUAUGUAAACAUUUUUAGAAAGCAAAUAAAAUACACAAAAAAAAA